AGACGCCGGGGCCCGCCAUCCCCAACGUCCACCGCGAGCUCCCUAGAUCCAUGGUCUGGAGCAGGUCCAGAAGACGCACCUGGCAGGACGCCCCGGGCGCCACAGUCGCCGUCCCCACGGGCCACCCCAAUCCUGCCGCGGCUCCGUGGCUCUCCUUACCUUUACCUGAGGUGAAGCAAGGACGUGGAAGCAGCCACGGCGCGCUACCAAACACCUCACACCGCUCUCAACAGUACUGCUCAGCCUCCCGGCCCGCCGAUGCGCAGGCGACAGCAGCCAACUUGAUGCUCUUCACUUCUUACAAAUUGGCAUGCCAGGCUGCUGCUCAGGUGAUCUGCCUCUUGGACCGGCUCUGAAAGUGGGACAGUGAUCAGUGCAAGAUCCCUGAGAUGCUGAGACACGAUGGGAUGGAGGAAAGCUAUGGGACAAGUGGCCUUUCAUAGGAGGAGGAGCUCCUUGUCAAAUGUGAGGAGCGAAGCAGGACAGGAGCAUGAGAACAGGAAGCCAGAAGUUAUGGGGACACUCAAGCAGCAUUAGGGAGAGGCUCAUGAGUAGAAGAACUGAGGCAUCCUGCAAACAGCCAUGGACUAACCUGUAUUGGGAGCAGAUUCUCCAGCUCCACGUCUGUUCCUUAGUCUCUGUUGAGGUGAAACUCCAAUAUCUGAACCCACCAGCCAAAUAAGCAACCUGUGUACAAGCCAAGUUAAAAUUUCACUCCCGUAAUGGAUGAGGAGAAACCAGAAGACAUUUCUCAUGCACAGGGAGUGCGUGAAUCCCCUGAAUUGCCAGGUUUCAGGGUCACAUGAGACCUCUAGAAGGCUCCGCUCAUCAUCACCUUAUCAUCUGCUGAUAAUACCUAUUCUAACGAAGGAGGGAGAGGAGUAAUGCACAAGAAACUCAGGCCAAUGGGGGAGCAAGAAGAAAACGAAGAAGUGCAGUGCAUGCGUCAUCGGUGUUUAACAGUCAGAAGCGAAACAGUUCAGAACAAGGCCUGCCCUGUCAAAAGAAGAGCUAAAGACAGUUAUAUAAAAAUUAAGAAUAACUCAAUCUCAGUGUGACUACUGAUCCGCCGCCACGUGGCUUCCCGGACACACUGCUGCAGCGCCAACAGUGGAGAGGAGCUCUCCAUCACAACCAGACAGCAGAAGCACAGCACAGUGAAGCACACCUGCCCACAUGAUGCACAAUAAAGGUAUUAAUUUACAACAGAUGGAUUUUAUGCCCUGUACAGGUAUGAACACAGUGAAGAUGUGACGAUGGUCUCUCUUUUAGCUGAACUCUGGAGUUUUAAUUACUGACAUUUUCUUGGAAGAAAUUAUCCUUUGUGGUUUUAAAACGUGGGCUUUUUUUUUUUUUUUGCUCAAGUCACAUGUUCUAAUAAGACAGUUUUAAUAAGCCAGUUUGACUAGAUGUAAAGUAAAGUACUUGGAUUAAAGUGAUAAUCUUACUUUGUGGCCUAUAAAUUAACACAUCUGAAUUUCUUUUUAAGAAUUCAGAAACCAGUAACUUCCAAACAACUUGAAAUUGAAUAAAUAUUUUCAGCAACCCAGGGGUGAACUAAAUGCAACAGAUUAUUCAACUUUAAAAAGUAAGUAAGUACUUACUGUACGGUAAGUAAGUACUGUACAGAUUUUCCAUAUUAAACAUCUGGUAUGCCUCAAUUUUUUACUUAAAAGUCUCGGACUUUGAGAGCAUACAGCAUUUUUUGCACGUAUAUAACCAUGAUGUACUUUAAUACUCCAAUCUUAGGUUGUGAUUUUAGAGGUGGUUUUGCUAUCAUUAAAUACCAAUGGGACCAAACCAGAAAAUUAAUAAAAAUAUAAUUCACCACUCACACACCCUUAAGGGUCUAGAUUCAAUUUCCAAAAGCAUAAUAUUGGGUAGUUACUUGCAGUUGUGAAAAUAAUUUCAAUCUUGGAAUCUUGGUACACAAUCCCAAAAUUUAAAAAAAAAAGGAAAUCCACUGUAAUCCCAGUGUCUUUAAAAUAAUGCUGCCAGCCCGACUCCACCUCACCCCACAGUCAACCAGUUACCAUGGUUCAGGAUAGGACAAACUUAGGUUUUGGACAAAUGAAGAGUUCAAUGGCUGUUAAUUGUCACAGGCAAGAAAAGAAGGAAAACCAAAAGUUGAUAAAUGUUAACUCAACAAUUAUAGUCUUUACACAGCUUGCCUUAAAACUGCUCCAGUUCAGACUUACUCUGUUCAAAAGUGAAUAUACAGAACGUUAGUGUAUCUCUCUAUUUAAAUCUCAGUCUCAGUACUAAUCUUCUACCUCCAUGAAACAUACACAACAAAACAAAAGGAAGAGCUAGGGAUUUGGGAAGAGGCACUUCCAGAAAAAAAGAAAGUGACGAUUAUUUCAGAUUUGAAUUUACCAUUUUUACCAUUUUUUCUGUUUCAAGGUCCCAGAUAAUAUACAUUUCUUCAUUCAUUAUUCAUUUUCUGAGUGCCUACUAUGGCUGGAGUACUCUAUUCGAUUUUAAGCUUAGAGAGAGAUUGAAACAGAAAACAGAAACAGUCCCUGCCCAUCUCACCCUUCAUUAACUUGCUGUGUGGAAGACAAGCAUACAGACUGGACCCUCAUGAGGCAGUGGUAGUAGGGCCCACAGGGAGGUGUGCUACUGAAGCACCCUGAGGGCCUGGAGCCCAACAUGCCCGUGGAGAGAGAUGCUCCUGAGGAGACAGAGUUCUGUGCGUUCUCCCUAUGGAGUCCUGCAUUUACUAGAUUUCAAUCCUCUUCCCCUGACUGAUUUCAAUCCACACACCCUCCCACUAUUUUUUUUUUUAAAUAAUAGGCUUUCUGCCCCAACUAAAGGAAUUUUAGGCUUCUGCAACAAGUGGAGGAGGCAUUUUGAAGAUGGGACACAAAGAAGUCUUCUUUCUCCAGAUCCAGAAGUCAGGCCUUGUAAGAAUUCAAGCCAAAAAAAGUUCAUCCAUGGGAAAAACGGUUCUUCUAUCAUCCAGCACGGAUUUGUGCCAACAGAGCUGAGGGACUUGAGUAAUUCAAGAGGCUAGGGGUUGGGGGGCAGAUGUGUCCAGUGGCUCCCACAGCCCCGCCGUCCUGAAAGUCACGCCAGUUAAUGUGCCUCGGGGUGGAUCAGCCCUCCCGACAGAUGACUACUAGGAAAUUAAUCCCCAGUUAAUAAUGUGCUUUGGACCAAGUAAGUGAAGAUUAUUUUUCCUACAAUUAUACAAAGAUACGCUUUUCCAGAAGGGAACUUCUGGAAAAAGAACAAAUAACACUAUGCUUAAAAUAUUAUUCACAUAUUUAGAGAAGAAAGAACUUAAAAUAGCAGAAGACCUGAAUACCAUGAUCCACGGUGCCCACCCCUGGGAGCAUGACUUUGUGUGGGACAAGACCUAGCACAGCAGGGCUGGCUUUCUAAGGGUACGGUGAGGCACCACUGAACUCAUCAAGGAACUAUGCCUAGUCUUGCCCCUCUGGUUUAUGUCACCAGUAUCAAAGAGAGAGGACCUCUGGAUGCCUGAAUGAGGCAAGAACUAAUGUGAAGGCUAUACUUUGCUUUGUUUUCAUAUCUUGCCCUCAGCUGCCUUAAGAGAAUUAUGCCCUGAUCUGGCACAGUGAUGAAUGUCUAUGGUUAUACUGCUGCUGCCGCUGGUGUGCUGCUGGUGAGGUGGUGGGGUGUGGGUGUCUUUUAAGGAAAGCGCUACUAUUUUAGCUCUCUUCCACUCCAGCUCUACAAAUCAGUGCAAGUCUAGUUCAGGCAGGGUCAAACCAUUUUGUUCACCUACUUUCCUGCCAGUGAUUUCAACCUUGACCUUCAAAAAUGCUCUGCAAGAUUAAAAGUGAUUUAAGAUUGUUUUCUUUCAGUGCAAACUGCCAGUUGAUACAACCUCUUCAGUUUCUGCCUGCCAGUAUAAGAUAGGGAAUUGUUGAGACUAUUUAGUGUAAAUAAAAUAAUUUCUUAAACAUUGAAAUACCAGUAACAGCUGGGGGAGGACUCACCAUUAGUCAAUUACACUUAUGAAACUUUCAAAUAGAAAUUUUAUUUUCAGUGGAUUCUGUUUUUCUUUCUUAACUGCAAAAUCAGCAAGUCAUUGGUUAAAAAGUAUACUCUUCCCGCUUGAAGUCAAGUAAGUAUUUACCCUAAGAGGCAAAGUCCAGUAUCUACAGUAAAAACUGACCUGACCUUUGGUAUUCCACAAGGGCCUGAACUUCCAUUCCAUUCCCAGUGCUGGAUGUGGAGAAUGGGUGGUCCCAAGCAACAAUCAUUUGCCUUUCUGUCAAAAGCUGUCUCGGUUUAAAUGUACUGUAUUUUCUCUGCCUCUUCUUCUCAUCGGAACAUGUUCUAGUCUACUCGCCAGGUGCUACUUCUGGCAGUCAGAAAUAGUGCCACUUUUCAACUUCAAGUUUCUUACCAACCUUUUUUGCAUUCAUGCACAGCAAGAGUUCAUGAAAUAGCUGCAAAGUGCUGGACACUGUUAGGUUCUGGGAAUUGCAAGAGAAACAGAGUUUCUGCCUUCUAGAUGCUCAAGUCUGGGGGUGGGGCAGGUACAGCAGGGGUGAUCAAUCCACAAAAAUUUACUUUUAAAAAUGUGUUAUGGGCUGACUUGUAUCACCUCAAAAUUCAUAUGGGGAAGUCCUAACCACCAAUACCUCAGAAUGUGAUUGGAUUUGGAAACAGGAUCUUUACAGAGGCAAUUAAGUUAAAAUAAGGACAUCAGGGUGGGCCCUAAUCUCAAGUGACCCAUGUCCUUCUAAGAAGAGAUUAGGACACAGAUACACAGAGGAAAGACCAUAUGAAGACACGGGGAGAAGACAGCCAUCUACAAGCCGAGAAGGGAGGCCUCAGAAGAAACCAACCCUGCCAACAUCUUGAUCUCAGACUUCCAGCCUCCAGAUUGUUAGAAAAUAAAUUUCUGUUGUUUAAGCUGCCCAGUCUGUGGCACUUUGUUAUGGCAGCCCUCGCAAACUAAACACAGUGUGCUUUUUAAGGGCAACAACAAAAAAGAAAUAUAUAGGUUAAGUCAAAUGUAAUAGCUGCUGGAACAUCUAUCAACAGACUAAACAACAAACAAAACCAACAUUUAGCAUAAUAUCCAGUAGUGCUGUCAACAAAGGAAAUGGGGGUGGCAGUGAGCACAUCUGGGAGGGCAUUUGAUGGCUGUCAGAAUCAGCCAAGGAAGAUAGAAGGGUGAGGGAUAAGUGCAGAAUAAGCUCCAUGCAGGCAAGUGGCCCUGUAGCCAGGUCUCCCUGCAGCUCCUAGGGGCCACAGCAGUAACAAGACCCACAUGAACCCAUGAGUUUCUGUGCCCUCAGUUUUCUAACUAACUAGUUCAGAAUAUUAGGAACUGACAAUGACCCUAUCACUGAAGCUUUUGAGUGCUGAUAAUAUGAGGGUCAGAAAACUGGUAAGCUGAUCUAGCUAUCUAGAGUCCAUCUGUGCUUGCUGAACUGUAAAGCUGCCCAUUCUUCUUGGUGCUCAUCAACUGACACUCCAAACAUGGACACGUGGCUGAUACUGCAUUCCAUUCAUUCAUUGUCUGAAUUCAAGUUUGUGUUUUUCAUGAAGGCCAAUUAAAUUAACUUUCUUUUUGACACUUCA
rnacentral:antisense_RNA from 1 species